UAUACCAAUUUGCGAGCAGCUAUUUUAGCAUUCGUAAAAACGAACUUACACAGUGCGCGACCGAGAAAGACGUUGUAGGUUGUACAGUAUAUAUCAUUUCGGUACAAGGAUGAAUCCUUUAUUUACAAGAUAUAUAUACAUUCGAGGACUACCUGCGCACAGUCAGCAGUAUGAUUGAAAUAUUAUAAAAAUUUACUUGCGUUUCUUGUCUUUUAGGUGCAUGUCGUAGGGCAAAAUUCUCAGAGUAUGAUGACUGUUAGAUUUAUUGCUGCUAUUGACAACAAAAACGUCACGAUCGAUUUAAAAAUUAGUAAAUCAGUAGUCAAAAUACAUGGUUUUUCUUAUUGCUGCGUCAAUCUAUCAUUCAUUGAUAUUUAUUAGCUACAGCUCAUUUCUUUUUAAAAAAUUUACCAUAUAGCGAAUCGCGGGAAAUGAACGUUUAACAUUUUUAACGAAGUUAGCUUCUAAUACAU